ACGGGAGGCAGCAGUGGGGAAUAUUGCACAAUGGGGGAAACCCUGAUGCAGCGACGCCGCGUGAGUGGAGAAGUAUUUCGGUAUGUAAAGCUCUAUCAGCAGGGAAGAAAGUGACGGUACCUGACUAAGAAGCCCCGGCUAACUACGUGCCAGCAGCCGCGGUAAUACGUAGGGGGCAAGCGUUAUCCGGAUUUACUGGGUGUAAAGGGAGCGUAGGCGGUUUGGCAAGUCUGAUGUGAAACCCCGGGGCUUAACCCCGGGCAUGCAUUGGAAACUGUCGGACUAGAGUGUCGGAGAGGAAAGCGGAAUUCCUAGUGUAGCGGUGAAAUGCGUAGAUAUUAGGAGGAACACCAGUGGCGAAGGCGGCUUUCUGGACGAUAACUGACGCUGAGGCUCGAAAGCGUGGGGAGCAAACAGGAUUAGAUACCCUGGUA
rnacentral:rRNA from 1 species